rnacentral:rRNA from 1 species
GUGCACGCUGGCGGUAGGCCUAACACCUGCCAGUCGAACGGCAGCACCGUAGGAGCUUGCUCUUACGGGUGGCGAGUGGCGGACGGGUGAGGAAUACAUCGGAAUCUACUUUUUCGUGGGGGAUAACGUAGGGAAACUUACGCUAAUACCGCAUACGACCUACGGGUGAAAGCAGGGGAUCUUCGGACCUUGCGCGAUUGAAUGAGCCGAUGUCGGAUUAGCUAGUUGGCGGGGUAAAGGCCCACCAAGGCGACGAUCCGUAGCUGGUCUGAGAGGAUGAUCAGCCACACUGGAACUGAGACACGGUCCAGACUCCUACGGGAGGCAGCAGUGGGGAAUAUUGGACAAUGGGCGCAAGCCUGAUCCAGCCAUACCGCGUGGGUGAAGAAGGCCUUCGGGUUGUAAAGCCCUUUUGUUGGGAAAGAAAAGCAGCAGGUUAAUACCCCGCUGUUCUGACGGUACCCAAAGAAUAAGCACCGGCUAACUUCGUG